rnacentral:rRNA from 1 species
GAUGAACGCUGGCGGCGUGCUUAACACAUGCAAGUCGAGCGAAGCGCCUUACUUGAUUUCUUCGGGAUGAAAGUAUUGUGACUGAGCGGCGGACGGGUGAGUAACGCGUGGAUAACCUGCCUCAUACAGGGGGAUAACAGUUAGAAAUGACUGCUAAUACCGCAUAAGCGCACGGAACCGCAUGGUUUUGUGUGAAAAACUCCGGUGGUGUGAGAUGGACCCGCGUUGGAUUAGCCAGUUGGCAGGGUAACGGCCUACCAAAGCGACGAUCCAUAGCCGGCCUGAGAGGGUGAACGGCCACAUUGGGACUGAGACACGGCCCAG